GACGAACGCUGGCGGCGUGCUUAACACAUGCAAGUCGAACGGAAAGGCCCUGCUUUUGUGGGGUGCUCGAGUGGCGAACGGGGGAGUAACACGUGAGUAACCUGCCCUUGACUUUGGGAUAACUUCAGGAAACUGGGGCUAAUACCGGAUAGGAGCUCCUGCUGCAUGGUGGGGGUUGGAAAGUUUCGGCGGUUGGGGAUGGACUCGCGGCUUAUCAGCUUGUUGGUCGGGUAGUGGCUUACCAAGCCUUUGACGGGUAGCCGGCCUGAGAGGGUGACCGGCGACAUUGGGACUGCGAUACGGCGCAGAAUCGUACGGGAGGCAGAAGGGGGGAGUAUUGCAGAAUGGGCGGAAGCCUGAUGCAGCAGCGCUGCGUGCGGGAUGACGGCCUUCGGGUUGUAAACCGCUUUCGCCGGUGACGAAGCGUGAGUGACGGUAAUGGGUAAAGAAGCACCGGCUAACUACGUG
rnacentral:rRNA from 1 species